rnacentral:rRNA from 1 species
UACGUAGGGUGCGAGCGUUGUCCGGAAUUAUUGGGCGUAAAGAGCUCGUAGGCGGUGUGUCGCGUCGGCCGUGAAAACCUGGGGCUUAACUCUGGGCGUGCGGUCGAUACGGGCAUCACUAGAGUUCGGCAGGGAAGACUGGAAUUCCUGGUGUAGCGGUGAAAUGCGCAGAUAUCAGGAGGAACACCGGUGGCGAAGGCGGGUCUCUGGGCCGAUACUGACGCUGAGGAGCGAAAGCAUGGGUAGCGAACAGG